UCAUCUCAUUCAAAUAGCGUAACUUAACUCAACAUAGCUUAGAUUUACUUACCACAGAGUCCACACUACGCUAUGUCAAUGGGAGACACUCUCCCACCAA